CAAUAGAGCACACAAACGUGGCCGGAAGCCGACAAGUGAGCAUAAAAUCGAGGCAGGCGGAGCAUGUUGUUCAUUUGUGCUCAUGACGGUUAGCUGUGUGAGAUCUCCACAGAAGAGCCCAAUGGAAUCAUCCAUCUUUGGACCCACCAGGGUUGGGCACCUCGGUGCCCGUUCAUGGGUUGCCAGAUGUCAACACAUGGUUCCCAGGUGAUUUGGUCAGACUGUGUUCCGGAACAUUCUUUUGGACUAGAGUGUGGCUGGGCUGGAGGUCUGAUGAUUGGACUCUAUGGCGAGUACCUGGUUGUCAGGCCCAUGUCUCAAAUUCCGUGAUGGGCACCAGGUAGUAAUGUUUUAAGGUUGCAUUUGUCUGUGGGACCCUGUUCCACAGCUUUGGAGCUGCAUUGGGUGAAGGACCUCUGUAGGUGUCACUUCCCACCAGUUUCACCAUCAUUGUUCGAAUUUGGCACACUCGUGCAGAGACUGGAUGGAUGGAAAUUCGUUACUUGCUGUUCUAUUGUUAGCAUUCAUUUGUUGUAAUAUCAAUAAUGAGAUUCUGCUGUAU